GAGGCACUAGUAAAAUUAGAUAUUACAAUUUUUUGUCAAGAAAUAAUUACAGGUUUGACCCCUGUGUGCCUUA
rnacentral:tRNA from 1 species